CUUGUGAAGUGUGAAGCCUUGUUCAAAUUGUUUAUAGUACCUGGAGAAAUGUUUCUAUUCAUUUUGUAAACUGUCUUCCUGCUAGAACUUUCUGUUGAAACAAUGCAAUGUAUUAUGUAGAAACAA